GUCUUUUUGUUUAAAAUUUAAAGUCUAACCUGCCCAAUGAUUAUUUUAAUGGCUGCGGUAUUUUGACCGUACAAAGGUAGCAUAAUCAUUAGUUUUUUAAUUGAAAACUUGUAUGAAUGGUUGAACGAGAAAAUUACUGUCUCAAUUUAAUUUAAUUAGAAUUUUAUAUUUAAGUUAAAAAGCUUAAAUUUAGUUAAAAGACGAGAAGACCCUAUAGAGUUUUAUAUUUAUUAAAUAUAAUAUAAAAGAAUUUUUUAAUAUUUAAUAAGUAUUUAAUUGGGGUGAUUAAUAAAUUUGUUUAACUUUAUUUUUUUUUAUACAUUAAUUUAUGAUAAUUUGAUCCAUUAAUUAUGAUUAAAAGAUAAAAUUACCUUAGGGAUAACAGCGUAAUUUUUUUAAAGAGUUCAUAUCGAUAAAAAAGAUUGCGACCUCGAUGUUGGAUUAAAAUUAAUUUUUGGUGUAGAAGCUAAAUAUAUUAAGUCUGUUCGACUUUUAAUUUUUUACAUGAUCUGAGUUUAAAUCGGCGUGAGCCAGAUUGGUUUCUAUCUUUAAUAAUUUUAAAAUAUUUUAGUACGAAAGGACCAAAUAUUAAUAAAAUUUAUUAUUUUAUUGAAUUA
rnacentral:rRNA from 1 species